rnacentral:rRNA from 1 species
GGGGAAUAUUGGGCAAUGGGGGAAACCCUGACCCAGCAACGCCGCGUGAAGGAAGAAGGCUUUCGGGUUGUAAACUUCUUUGACGAGGGACGAAAGAAAUGACGGUACCUCGAAAACAAGCCACGGCUAACUACGUGCCAGCAGCCGCGGUAAUACGUAGGUGGCAAGCGUUGUCCGGAUUUACUGGGUGUAAAGGGCGCGUAGGCGGGAUAGCAAGUCAGGGGUGAAAGGCUACGGCUCAACCGUAGUGAGCCUCUGAAACUGGUGAACUUGAGUGUAGGAGAGGAAAGUGGAAUUCCCAGUGUAGCGGUGAAAUGCGUAGAUAUUGGGAGGAACACCAGUGGCGAAGGCGACUUUCUGGACUACAACUGACGCUGAGGCACGAAAGCGUGGGGAGCAAACA